UCACACUCCUAUUUUGUACCUUUACAAGCCAAAUGGGCCAUUCUCUUCCAAUUUCUUUGAUGUUAAGGUCCUUAAGGAGGCCUUAAAACAAGUCCUUGUGCUAUAUUACCCUAUGGCUGGGGGGUUGAGAAANGGCUGGGAGAUUGAGAAAGCAUGAUAAUGGCAAGACUGAAAUAAACUGCAAUGGAGAGGGAGUACUAUUCAUAGAAGCUCAAGCAAAUUCUGCUAUGGUUGACAUUAAUGACUUCACGC
rnacentral:misc_RNA from 1 species